rnacentral:lncRNA from 1 species
GUUAUCGCUACUUUUGCAAAGUGUCAAUUGUGAGAAUGUGCUGUUCAUAAAAGAAAUGCUGUUUUCACAACAAGCAAGUCAAAAGCCUUUAAUCUGCUAGAAGGUACAGUUUCAGAGAGAUAACUUGAAAGAAAGAAAUUAUUGUUGGCCAUCCUCCCCCCCCCCCCCCCCCCCCAAACCCCUCCUGAGAUGGGCACCCUGAGGAAAAAGUGUCAAAGGUGUCAUUGUUAACAGUUUAUGAGGUAGGGUUAGGGGAAGAUGUGUCUUCCCACUUGUUCAUUCUCCCUUUCUUCUCCUCCGGGCGAGUUAUGGUAGCUUUCCAAAACUUUGACUAUGCUUGGGAUAUUCAGACAAGCUAGUUCUUCUUGGCUGAUGCACAGGAAUGACUGGAAGUACCUGGAGAGAGUAAAGACAGCACAACAGAGAGAAAGCAGUUUCAUUAAACAAAAUGAAGGCCAAGGACUUAGACUUUUCCUAGGACUGCAAAGUAAAGGGUAAAAAUACAGAGUGGAAUAAUGAAAACAGAACAGGGUGACACCAGAAGAACAGCAGAAGCUCCAGCACAGGCUGUUACAAGAUAAGAGUCACCAAAAAGAAUACGAGAACACCUGCAAACAUACAGCUGUCAUACCAUCUAUUCUUUAUGGACAAGAAGGUUUAAUUAGCAAUCCGAAGCCUUCCCAAAAGGAGAGAUGAAUUUUGCUUCCUCAUACUUCCCUACAGAGCCAUACACAAAGUAUCAUGUGAUUCCUUCUUCCAAAGUCUCCUGGUGUUGACUUGUGUGUUGAGAGAAGGACUUGUAGUAAUACGUUUAAGUUUUGAGGGCUAUGUACCCAACACCUGAAACCUCCCAUCAUUCCUUCAAAUUGCAAAACUACAUUUUUUGAUCUAAUCAGUAAAGAAAGAAAAUACUUCAUAUCCUGGGGAGUUUUGUUUUUGAAGCAUGCAGAACUAACCAAAACACACUUCUUUUUUUAUUGUUAGGUUUGCCACUAUUGCAGAGGAUAGUUGCAAAGAAAACCUUAAUUUUACCAAGAAGACAUAAAGAUAAGAAGCAAAAGCUCUUCGUGUAUGAUUCUGAACAUAUAGUCCAGUGCUUUCAACAAUAAAGGAAAGUACUGCACAUUAAAUAGGUUCA